UACAGAGGGUGCGAGCGUUGUUCGGAAUUAUUGGGCGUAAAGGGCGCGUAGGCGGUGCGGUAAGUCACCUGUGAAAUCUCCUGGCUCAACUGGGAGCUUGCAGGCGAAACUGCCGUGCUGGAGUGUGGGAGGGGUGCGUGGAAUUCCUGGUGUAGCGGUGAAAUGCGUAGAUAUCAGGAGGAACACCUGUGGCGAAAGCGGCGCACUGGACCACAACUGACGCUGAGGCGCGAAAGCUAGGGGAGCAAACAGG
rnacentral:rRNA from 1 species